UACGGGGGGUGCAAGCGUUAAUCGGAAUUAUUGGGCGUAAAGGGUGCGUAGGUGGAGUAUUAAGUUAGCUGAGAAAAUCCUGGGCUUAACCUGGGCAUUUCAGCUAAGACUGAUAAACUAGAGUAUAGUAGAGGGUAGUGGAAUUUCCGGUGUAGCGGUGAAAUGCGUAGAUAUCGGAAGGAACACCGGUGGCGAAGGCGGCUACCUGGACUAAUACUGACACUGAGGCACGAAAGCGUGGGUAGCGAACAGGAUUAGAUACCCUGGUAGUCCAUGCUGUAAACGAUGUCAACUAGCUGUUGGUCUUAUAAAAGAGAUAAGUAGCGCAGCAAACGCGAUAAGUUGACCGCCUGGGGAGUACGGUCGCAAGAUUAAA
rnacentral:rRNA from 1 species